AUUUUUAUAGUGUAACCCAACAUUUUACUUUUUCGUUGUAAAGCUGAAAUAAUUAUGAUUUCUAAAAAUA
rnacentral:tRNA from 1 species